CCUACGGGUGGCAGCAGUGGGGAAUAUUGCACAAUGGGCGAAAGCCUGAUGCAGCAACGCCGCGUGAAGGAAGAAGGGUUUCGGCUCGUAAACUUCUAUCAACAGGGACGAAAGAAAUGACGGUACCUGCCUAAGAAGCUCCCGCUACCUACGUGCCAGCAGCCGCGGUACUACGUAGGGGGCAAGCGUUAUCCGGAAUUACUGGGUGUAAAGGGUGAGUAGGCGGCGUGGUAAGCCAGAUGUGAAAGCCUUGGGCUUAACCCGAGGAUUGCAUUUGGUACUAGCAAGCUAGAGUACAGGAGAGGAGGGCAGAAUUCCUGGUGUAGCGGUGAAAUGCGUAGAGAUUAGGAAGAACACCAGUGGCGAAGGCGGCUUUCUGGACUGAAACUGACGCUGAGGCGCGAAAGCGUGGGGAGCGAACAGGAUUAGAUACCCGAGUAGUC
rnacentral:rRNA from 1 species